rnacentral:rRNA from 1 species
UACAGAGGCCUCGAGCGUUAGGCGGAAUCACUGGGCUUAAAGCGUGUGUAGGUGGAUGCCUAAGUACCUUGUGAAAUCCCACGGCUUAACCGUGGAAUUGCUUGGUAUACUGGGUGUCUUGAGCCACUCAGGGGCUACCGGAACAAGCGGUGGAGCGGUGAAAUGCGUAGAUAUCGCUUGGAACGCCAAUGGUGAAAACAGGUAGCUGGGGGUGUGCUGACACUGAGACACGAAAGCCAGGGGAGCAAACGGG